rnacentral:rRNA from 1 species
UCGAGAAUCAUUCGCAAUGGGCGAAAGCCUGACGAUGCGACGCCGUGUGAGCGAAGAAGGCCUUCGGGUUGAAAAGCUCUUUCGCCUGUGAACAAGAGAGACAGGAUAACACCCUGUGGAUUUGAGGGUAACAGGUAAAGAAGCACCGGCUAACUCCGUGCCAGCAGCUGCGGUAAUACGGAGGGUGCAAGCAUUAAUCGGAAUUAUUGGGUGUAAAGGGCGCGUAGGCGGAGGGGUAAGUCAGAUGUGAAAUCCCCGGGCUCAACCUGGGAACUGCAUUCGAGACUGCGUUGCUAGAGUAUGGGAGAGGGAAGUGGAAUUUCCGGUGUAGCGGUGAAAUGCGUAGAUAUCGGAGGAACACCGAUGGCGAAGGCAAUCCCCUGGACCUGUACUGACGCUCAUGCACGAAAGCGUGGGGAGCAGACA